UGAGACGAUGCAAGAGUAGGAGAUAGAGAUGGGAGCUAUAUCCAUGCAACAAUGGCGGCUGAGAGAGAUGAAACAAGCGGCGGCGAUGUGCAAGGAACGUCCUGCAACAAUGGCGGCCGGUGCCCAGAAGUCGCCGGGCCAAGGCGUUUUGGUCCAGCUCAAUAUAGGAACGGUAAUGGGACGUGAUAACCAGCCAGGGGGCGGUAGGAUUGUCAGGACAAGUGAAAUUAAUGAGGGAGAUGACUGCUGUGACCGGGCUUCUGGAAAUGCAAAUUUGAUGAUGCUACAUAUAGUCUGAAUUCAGAGAAGUUUGGUUCUACCAACAAUUGUAGCCAACAAGUAUCUUCUUCAGCAGAUUGGUGAUGCUUCAGUAGGAAUUUCUAGAAUACCAGAUAGUCACAUAAUGAAUCACAGAGGGUGAUUAUGAUGCAGAGACAUUUGUGAUCGGCAACAAACAUGUGCAUAAAGCUUUCAUGGAGAUAGCUGACCACAUGAAAUUGAAGGAAACUAGUAAUGCGAAUGGGUACAAAGUCAAACAAAUGCAAGUGGCACAGAAUAUAGCAAUGGUUCUGAUAUUAAUGGUGAAACAAGAGGCAACCUGUUUGGGACAGCCGGGUCUAGUGCAGGUUUAAGUGAUUCUGAGUUCUUGAGUUUGAGUGCACCAGAUGUGAAAGUAAGGCAUCGCAGGCCAUGGAUCAAAUGCUACAGGAUACACAUUGAGAUGAUUAAAAGAGAAGAUGAUGAAAAAAUCAAGAAAGAAAGCGAGGAAGACAGUGAAGAUGCACCACUUGUGGUCUUGACGACCACAAAAAACCUCAGAACAUUCAGCGAAAGUGUUGUUAUGGCUGCUAUUUGAGGUGUAAUUUCAGCAGCAAUUCGACAUAGGGGUUUAGCUGAUUAUGAGUGGUUAUUUUAAAAUGGUAGAUGAGUAUUUUGGCAUUAUUGCAGAUUCAAUUGCCUUGCAUCAAUAUUCAGUAAGGCAUUUACAAACCUUUGUAAAACAACUGUCUAGAUGUAAGGGUAUCAAGAACCAUAUUCUGUUUUGGUACAAGUCUUAGUUGCAACUGUUUUAGUGCUGAUGGUAAAGCUGCCCUAAGAAAAUGUUUUUGUGAUUAUCUA